rnacentral:rRNA from 1 species
UACGUAGGGUGCAAGCGUUGUCCGGAAUUAUUGGGCGUAAAGAGCUCGUAGGUGGCCUGUCGCGUCGGCUGUGAAAACUCGGGGCUCAACUCCGAGCUUGCAGUCGAUACGGGCAGGCUAGAGUUCGGCAGGGGAGACUGGAAUUCCCGGUGUAGUGGUGGAAUGCGUAGAUAUCGGGAGGAACACCAGUGGCGAAGGCGGUUGCCUGGAGCUUUGCUGACGCUGAGGCGCGAAAGCGUGGGGAGCGAGUCCGG